rnacentral:rRNA from 1 species
CCGGCGUGAGGGAUGACGGCCUUCGGGUUGUAAACCUCUUUCAGUACCGACGAAGCGCCCGUUGUGGGUGGUGACGGUAGGUACAGAAGAAGCACCGGCCAACUACGUGCCAGCAGCCGCGGUAAUACGUAGGGUGCGAGCGUUGUCCGGAAUUAUUGGGCGUAAAGGGCUCGUAGGCGGUUUGUCGCGUCGGAGUGAAACACCGGGCUUAACUCGGUGCUUGCUUUCGAUACGGGCAGACUAGAGGUAUGCAGGGGAGAACGGGAAUUCCUGGUGUAGCGGUGAAAUGCGCAGAUAUCAGGAGGAACACCGGUGGCGAAGGCGGUUCUCUGGGCAUUACCUGAUGCUGAGGAGCGAAAGUGUGGGGAGCGAACAGGAUUAGAUACCCUGGUAGUCCACACCGUAAACGUUGGGCGCUAGGUGUGGGGCCUAUUCCAUGGGUUCCGUGCCGCAGCUAACGCAUUAAGCGCCCCGCCUGGGGAGUACGGCCGCAAGGCUA